rnacentral:rRNA from 1 species
UACGGAGGGAGCUAGCGUUGUUCGGAAUCACUGGGCGUAAAGCGCGCGUAGGCGGCUAUUUAAGUCAGAGGUGAAAGCCCGGGGCUCAACCCCGGAACUGCCUUUGAAACUAGAUGGCUAGAAGAUGGGAGAGGUGAGUGGAAUUCCGAGUGUAGAGGUGAAAUUCGUAGAUAUUCGGAAGAACACCAGUGGCGAAGGCGACUCACUGGACCAUUAUUGACGCUGAGGCGCGAAAGCGUGGGGAGCAAACAGG